rnacentral:lncRNA from 1 species
UGUAACUAUGACUGAGGAGCUUAAUCUCAACACUCUGUCCUGUGUCCUGUUCUUUGAUCUUAUUUGUUUAUUUUUAAAAUACACAUUUUGCACUCACAAACACUUACAAUUUCUUUGUGUUUCUCGAGGCUGUGCAGAAUCUGUUGAAGGAAUCAUGACAGCUGAGAGUGUUUCAGUCAUCGACCUGCCCCACUGGGAGAGUGGAAAAAGGAGGAUUCGAUUCCUUUAUUUAGCUGCCAACAAUUCCUUCAGAGUUACCAAACAGUGUACAAAUGAGGAGCAGAUGAUCCCCCUUUUUCUUGGAGCUGAUCUUUUUUCCAACACAGAUGUCCGUACCGAAAACCAUCCCAGAUAUCAUGCAAAAUUUGCCAAAAAGGGACUGGCCACCAAGCUGGUCUUUUCCUCAGGUAUUUAUUAAUAUUUUUUUAUAUUAAUCAGGAGUGGUGUUUUUAUAAAGAUUUUAAACUUUAGUUUAAAAUGGAUGGAACAAAAGCACAUCACUGUAAUACUGGAGUAUUAUUUUUACUUCACUACUGUACUUAAUUACUAAAAUGCUGUAUCUGUAUCUACUAGAGUAUUAUUUUUACUACUUCACUACUGUACUUAAGUACUAAAAUACUGUAUCUGUAUCUACUGGAGUAUUAUUUUUACUACUUCACUACUGUACUUAAGUACUAAAAUACUGUAUCUGUAUCUACUGGAGUAUUAUUUUUACUAC